rnacentral:rRNA from 1 species
GAUGAACGCUGGCGGCGUGCCUAAUACAUGCAAGUCGAGCGAACAGACGAGGAGCUUGCUCCUCUGACGUUAGCGGCGGACGGGUGAGUAACACGUGGAUAACCUACCUAUAAGACUGGGAUAACUUCGGGAAACCGGAGCUAAUACCGGAUAAUAUAUUGAACCGCAUGGUUCAAUAGUGAAAGACGGUUUUGCUGUCACUUAUAGAUGGAUCCGCGCCGCAUUAGCUAGUUGGUAAGGUAACGGCUUACCAAGGCAACGAUGCGUAGCCGACCUGAGAGGGUGAUCGGCAACCCUGGAACUGAGACACGGUCCAGACUCCUACGGGAGGCACCAGUAGGGAAUCUUCCGCAAUGGGCGAAAGCCUGACGGAGCAACGCCGCGUGAGUGAUGAAGGUCUUCGGAUCGUAAACCUCUGUUAUUAGGGAAGAACAAAUGUGUAAGUAACUAUGCACGUCUUGACGGUACCUAAUCAGAAAGCCACGGCUAACUACGUG